GAUUAGUACGCAGUUACUGCUGCGCCAUAUAUUUUGUUGACCAUGUGUCCAGAGUCUAGUUUUGAUUGAGCAGUGACUCGGGAAGUAGUGUUUCGUUUGAUCUACAUAUUCUCAAAAAUUGCUUGAAAAUCGGUAGCUACUGUAAGACCUAUAUCAUUGAAAAUUUCGUGAAUUCCGUAACUCGGAAAUUUUUCCAUAAGCACUGGUCUUCCGUCUUGGAUUCGACGGCAGUUGGGCUUCGGCGACAGAAGCGGCGACAUCAGGAGCGACAUCAGUAGCAAAGCAGGUCCCUCAGAGCGACGAUGGAGAGAGAGAGAACGAUGACCAUUGCGCGAUGAAACCAAAUCAGGACAUCGACGAGUCUUUCGGAAGAUCGACUCUUCUUCAUCCUGUUCCAGUAGAGCUGCAUCUGCAACACACGAGACGUACAACUCCUUUUUUUGCAGGGGUCGCAUAUCUUCCAACGUCGGAGAUGCUGUCUCCACAGUUAUGACCCCCUGGACUUCCCCUGUUCAUCAGGGGGAGUCCAGGGACCCGUCCCCUGGGACUGCGCGGCCUCCCACCGCCCCCGGGGUCCCAGGGGACC